rnacentral:pre_miRNA from 1 species
AGCUUUCACAGCUUAGUAAAUGUAGCUUUCACAGCUUAGAUUUACUAAGCUGUGAAAGCUAUAUUUACUAAGCUGUGAAAG